rnacentral:rRNA from 1 species
UACGUAGGGCGCAAGCGUUGUCCGGAAUCAUUGGGCGUAAAGAGCUCGUAGGUGGUCUGUUACGUCUGCUGUGAAAACCUAGGGCUUAACCCUGGGCCUGCAGUGGAUACGGGCAGACUAGAGGUAGGUAGGGGAGAAUGGAAUUCCCGGUGUGGCGGUGAAAUGCGCAGAUAUCGGGAGGAACACCGGUGGCGAAGGCGGUUCUCUGGGCCGUAACUGACGCUGAGGAGCGAAAGCAUGGGGAGCGAACAGG